rnacentral:rRNA from 1 species
AGAGAAGGUUACAAGGGCGGACGGGGGAUGCCUUGGCUUCCGGAGGCGAGGAAGGACGUGGCAAGCUGCGAAAAGGCGCGGGGAUCCGCAAGCAGGAAGCGAUCCGCGCAUGUCCGAAUGGGGUAACCCGGCGGGCCGAAGGCCCGUCACCAGACUAUCGGUCUGGGGCGAACGCAGGGAACUGAAACAUCUCAGUACCUGCAGGAGGAGAAAGAAACAUCGAUUCCCGGAGUAGUGGCGAGCGAAACGGGAACAGCCCAAACCGACGGCGUCGAGGCGGCGUCGGGGUUGUAGGACCGACCAUAGGGUAUCCAGAGGGAACCGGAACGGCCUGGAAAGGCCGGCCGUGGAGGGUGAAAGCCCCGUACGGGCAACCUGCUGGAGACGAGGGCGGCACCUGAGUAUGGCGGGACACGAGGAAUCCUGUCAGAACCAGCGGCGACCAAGCCGCAAGGCUAAACACUACCGGAAGACCGACAGCGAACCAGUACCGUGAGGGAAAGGUGGGAAGCACCCCGGGCAGGGGAGUGAAAUAGAACCUGAAACCGUCCGUCUACAAGCGGUCGGAGCGGAGCGAUCCGCGACGGCGUGCCUUUUGCAUAAUGAGCCUACGAGUUGCCGUGUCCGGCGAGGUUAAUGGCCUGAGGCCAGUGAGCCGGAGCGAGAGCGAGUCUGAACAGGGCGUUCAGUCGGGCGCGGCAGACGCGAAACCUAGUGAUCUACCCUUGGCCAGGCUGAAGGGACCGUAACAGGUUCUGGAGGGCCGCACCGGUUUACGUUGAAAAGUGCUCGGAUGAGCUGAGGGUAGGGGUGAAAGGCUAAUCAAACUGGGAGAUAGCUCGUACUCCCCGAAAUGCCUUUAGGGGCAGCCUCGCGAGAGCUUCACGGAGGUAGAGCGACUGAUAGGAUGAGAGGGCUUCGCCGCCUGUCGAGUCCUGACAAACUCCGAAUGCCGAGAAGUGGUUCGCGGGAGUGAGUCACCGGGUGCUAAUGUCCGGUGGCGAGAGGGAAAGAGCCCAGACCCACGGCCAAGGUCCCUAAGACCGGUCUAAGUUGAUAGAACGAGGUGACACCGCAGCGACAGCUAGGAUGUUAGCUUGGAAGCAGCUAUUCAUUUAAAGAGUGCGUAACAGCUCACUAGUCGAGCGGUGACGCGUGGAUGAUGAACGGGCAUCAAGACCGGCACCGAAGCCAGGGACUGCUCUAAUGAGCAGUGGUAGGGGAGCAUUGCGGACAGCGUCGAAGGCCUGCCGGGAGGCAGACUGGAGCGUCCGGAAAAGAAAAUGUAGGCAUGAGUAACGACAACGCGCGGGAGAACGCGCGCACCGACAACCCAAGGAUUCCUGAUCAACGCUAGACGGAUCAGGGUAAGCCGGGACCUAAGGGGAACCCGAGAGGGGCACCCGAUGGACAGGCGGUCAAGAUUCCGCCGCCUGCACGCCGGGACGAGGGGAGACCGAGGAGUGACACUGCCGCCCACUGACGGAAUAGUGGGUUGAAGGGGGUAGGGCGACCGAACCCCGACAGUACCGCGACCCCACGGGGGAGCGGAGAGCGCAGGUAACCAUACUCGCUAGAAAAUCCCCGAGUCGCGCAGAGGCGUGCAGCCCGUACCGUAAACCGACACAGGUGGGUGAGGAGAGAAUCCUAAGGUGCUCGAGUGAAUCACGGCUAAGGAACUAGGCAAAUUGACCCCGUAACUUCGGGAUAAGGGGACCUCCCUGGGAGGGGAGGCGCAGAGAAAUGGCCCAGGCGACUGUUUACCAAAAACACAUGGCUAUGCGAAAUCGCAAGAUGACGAAUAUGGCCUGACACCUGCCCGGUGCCGGAAGGUUAAGAGGGGGGCUUAGCGCGAGCGAAGGCCUGAAUCGAAGCCCCGGUAAACGGCGGCCGUAACUAUAACGGUCCUAAGG